UACGUAGGGUCCGAGCGUUGUCCGGAGUUACUGGGCGUAAAGGGCUCGUAGGCGGUUUGUCACGUCGGGAGUGAAAACUCGGGGCUUAACCCCGAGCCUGCUUCCGAUACGGGCUGACUAGAGGUAUGCAGGGGAGAACGGAAUUCCUGGUGUAGCGGUGAAAUGCGCAGAUAUCAGGAGGAACACCGGUGGCGAAGGCGGUUCUCUGGGCAUUACCUGACGCUGAGGAGCGAAAGUGUGGGGAGCGAACAGG
rnacentral:rRNA from 1 species